GUAAAAUGAUAGUUUUUCCUUUCCAUUGACUAGUACUAAAAGUGCAUAGUCUAACUCAUCGUUUAUGUGAAUAUAUCACAAAAUAAAGUAAACAGGAAAAUGUACUACUAUAAGUGUUGUCACUGCGUACUAGGACUAACACAACAUCACAUUAAGUGAAAUAUGUAACCUAAUGGACAUCCGAAGAUUGUCCAGAACAAGUGUUAAUGUAAGUGUCAUCGCUGGGUACUAGGAGUAACACAUCAUCGCAAUAAGCGAAAGGUAUAACCUUAUGAACAAUCGAAGAUUGUCCACUUGUCCUCUGUAGCAGCAGCAGGUGGGUGGAGGGGUUAGCCCCGGUUAUCGAUCUUCCUAGUAUAAGUAGUAACCUUAGACCUCCGUAGAUGGUCAUCGACCACUGGUGCUAAUCAGUGGGGUUCGGAAUGGUAAGUCCCGCCUAGAUAUCCCAUUGAACCGGGAUAGGAAAGAUAAUUUACACAGAAGGUACUAAUAAAUUAUCCUCGUAGUUCUAAGUACAAGUAUCCAGGUAAGUGAAUACAGGAUAAUGCACAUAUGUAACAGUGUUCCUGUAUGAUAUUCAUGUAAGUGUGUUCAUGUAACAGGUAAGUAUAUGUAUAUGUACUCAUGUAUCAGGUAAACAUCUGUAAGUACUCAUGUAUCAGGUAAUGUACUAGUAUAGACUCAUAAAUGAACUGACUCUUGUGUGAUUUGUUGUAAUAGAAGUAAUGUUUGAUAUCUUCAAAUUAUCCCUAUGAUAAUUUACUGUAAUAUAACUGGUUGAUCAUGUAAGUUUAUACACUCUUACUACUCAAGGGUGUGGGAAACUAAAUGAAAGAUGUAAACUAUAACAUCAAUACAUAUAUAAGAAUAUAAGUGUAUAUGCAUAGUUUAGUUCAAGAAUGUAAAAUGGUUUUGUAAGACAUCUUAU
rnacentral:lncRNA from 1 species